rnacentral:rRNA from 1 species
GGGUGCAAUCAUACUAGCGUUAAUGCGUCAGAUCCCAUCAGAACUCCGCAGUUAAGCGUGCUUGGGCCAGAGUAGUACUAGGAUGGGUGACCUCCUGGGAAGUCUUAGUGUUGCACCCU